GCAGCGACUCAAUAUAAAUAUUCCCUGUUAUUGACAUUCCAUUGCGGCUGUUGUAGUCUGAGACUAGUUCCGUGAGACAAGCAGUCUGACACAUACAGGACAAGAAAAUCUCUUGUCAUCUGGGUACAGCAAGUCUGCCACACCGUAGUCCGACACCUGCACCUGAUUGACACUUUUCAUGAGAAUAUUCCGAGCCGAGAGGUUCCUGUGAACCAUUCGAUGUUCCUCCAGUGGUCUGGUGAGGUGUUGGGAACAAAGAUCUCCAGUUCACAGUGUCAUAAUAGCAGAGAUUCUGAUUCUCUGCAAUAUAUACUUUGCCUGCGCUGAUUUCCUGCAGCGAGCGGAAACCCAAUGACGUCACAUUGUUG